rnacentral:lncRNA from 1 species
AAUUAUUUUAAAAAUUUUUCGACGUCCGUGACGUCGAGUAGAUCAAUGUGGUAUAUUCAUAUACCCAAAUUGAGCACCGUAUGAGAACGUUAUUAAGGAUUGUUGGUUAGGUGUUCAAAUAACGUUUUAUAGUUUUUGCAUUUAGGUGAAAAUAUGAAUUGACGAUCCGACCGUUGGAUCAUCACCAAACUUUGAUACGUUGCAAUACGUAAUAUUUGAGGAUUAUAGGAACUUACGGAUUAGGAAUCCGAUUUACGGAUCUUCCGGAAUUGGAGUUGUAAGUUCAUAAAAUAGAAUGUAAACCGUCACUUAGUUUUGUUAAUUGACGGAGAUCCGACCGUUGGAUGGUGAUGAAAUUUUAGGAUGUUGUCCUAGAGAUAUAUUGUGGACCUCUGGAAGUUAUGGAUUUAAAAUCUGAGUGGCAGAUCUUCCGGAUCGAUCUACGUAGUGACGUAUUUUAUAUAAGUUAUAUAUUCUAUCGAUAUGGAUUCUGAGGCUGGAUUUGAUUACUGUUCUAGGCGGCAAUCGUCAUGACACCUUGAUGUGUGGUGCUAGGGAGUUGUUGGACGAACUCCAGGUGAGUGGGCAGUUUUGUUUUCCGUAUACAUAUAUACUUGCCGUUUUCCCAGAAAUUGAAAAUGCAUGAAAUUAUGCUUUAAAUGAAAAUGUAUAAAAGUAUAUGAGAUAUAUUAGUUGAAUUGCCAUGCAUAGAAGUAUGCGAAAAGUAUAUAGAAUUAUAUGAAAAACGUGAAUCGAAUUGCCAUGCAUGAAAUGAUAUGAAUUGAUAUAUGAUGCAUAUGUAUGAAUUGGUGCGGCGGACGCACAGGUGAGUAUCAGGUUAAUAUUUAAAUACUGUUAUGAUGAUGUUGAUAUAAAUUGAGCUCAAAUCCUGCACCAUGGUUUAGUGCUUAUAGUAUUCACCGCAUCGCACGCUCGCCUUGGAUCCAAGUAAAUGCUGGUCGCACAGUCCACGCGGAGUGGGUGCGACGGGCCAGUCGAAGAGUGUUAAUGAGAUUUCGACUGGUGGGUGACCUUAGAUUAUGUGCACAGAUGAUUGAUGAGAAAGCACUAGAGCGUAAUAUUAACCAUUAAGUCGUACAGACUACAUUAGGUGGUUCCGACUUAUGUGCAGAAGGCCGUACAGGUCACAGAGGUGACUCCGGCAGAGUGAUAGUGAUAGAUUUUGAGCUCUAGGUUCAACCGUACAGGGCUAUUAGAGGGCCUCCGGUUGAUUACUUUCUUGCACCUGAUAUGAUUAUUGUUGAUGCAUCCAUACUUAACUGUUGAAUUAGACAUGGCAUGGCAUGAUUGACAAAGAAAAAUGUUGAGAUAGUAAAAAUGAAGUUUUGAGAAUAUAUAUGUAUAUUUAUAUUUUACAUUUCUGGGAAAGUAUACAAGUUUUACGGAGAGGGGUUACAACGUUUUGAGAAAUGUUUGGAUUUGGAAAAGAAUUGUUUUACUGACCCACUCAAUUUUGGUUUUGCGCCCCUCCAGGUUCAGGAAUCACAAAGGUGUGGUGACUACGAGGAAUUCGACGGUGUUCUGACAGAUUGGACAAAAUUAGGAC